UUGGGCCCAAGCUCGAGCUUGCAAAUAAACCCUCAUGCGUUUGCAUCGGUAUCGGCUCCUUGGUGGUCUCUCGGAUUCGAAAUUGGGGGCAUUACACCCCUCAACCUAAAUGCAGGCUAUAACAUCAGUUACACAGCUGGGGGAACGAACCACUGUUGUUGGAACCUAGGCAGAGCUGCCUAUAGCAUCCAGCAAAACAAACAAACAAACAAAAAACCCUGGAAACCAAAAGCACCAAGGGCCUUGGAGGAGCAAAGGGGGAAGAGAACUGUGAAAGCCGGUCUCCUCACUCCACCACAGGCUUCAGAAGACUCCAUCAGAUGAUGUAGAUUAAAGAAAAGUUGGGGCGCCUAGGUGGCUCAGUCGGUUUGGUGUCCAACUUUGGCUCAGGUCAUGAUCUCUCUGUCCAUUAGUUCGAGCCCUGCAUUGGGCUCUGCGCUGACAGCUCAGAACCUGAAGCCCACUUCUGAUUCUGUGUCUCCCUCUCUCUCUCUGCCUCUCCCCCACUCGUACUCUGUCUCUCUGUCUCUCAAAAAAAUAAAUAAACGUUAAAAAAAAAUUUUUUUUUAAGAAGAAGAAAAGUUAAUCAG